CCUACGGGUGGCUGCAGUGGGGAAUAUUGGACAAUGGGCGAAAGCCUGAUCCAGCCAUGCCGCGUGAACGAUGAAGGCCUUAGGGUUGUAAAGUUCUUUUGUCAGGGAAGAUAAUGACGGUACCUGACGAAUAAGCACCGGCUAACUUCGUGCCAGCAGCCGCGGUAAUACGAAGGGUGCAAGCGUUGUUCGGAAUCACUGGGCGUAAAGCGCGCGUAGGCGGCUUAGCAAGUCAGAGGUGAAAUGCCGGGGCUCAACCCCGGAACUGCCUUUGA
rnacentral:rRNA from 1 species